rnacentral:rRNA from 1 species
CACGUAGGGGGCGAGCGUUGUCCGGAUUUAUUGGGCGUAAAGAGCUCGUAGGCGGCUCGGUAAGUCAGGUGUGAAAACUCUAGGCUCAACCUAGAGACGCCACCUGAUACUGCUGUGGCUAGAGUCCGGUAGGGGAGCAUGGAAUUCCUGGUGUAGCGGUGAAAUGCGCAGAUAUCAGGAAGAACACCAAUGGCGAAAGCAGCUCUCUGGGACGGUACUGACGCUGAGACGCGAAAGCGUGGGGAGCGAACAGG